rnacentral:rRNA from 1 species
GUAGGGGGCAAGCGUUAUCCGGAUUUACUGGGUGUAAAGGGAGCGUAGACGGUGCAGCAAGUCUGAUGUGAAAGGUCGGGGCCCAACCCCUGGACUGCUUUGGGAACUGUACGGCUGGAGUGCAGGAGAGGUAAGUGGAAUUCCUAGUGUAGCGGUGAAAUGCGUAGAUAUUAGGAGGAACACCAGUGGCGAAGGCGGCUUACUGGACUGUAACUGACGUUGAGGCUCGAAAGCGUGGGGAGCAAA